CCUACGGGAGGCAGCAGUGAGGAAUAUUGGUCAAUGGGCGAGAGCCUGAACCAGCCAAGUCGCGUGAGGGAAGACGGUCCUAUGGAUUGUAAACCUCUUUUGUCGGGGAGCAAAAAGGCCUCGUGAGGCCACAAGUGAGAGUACCCGAAGAAAAAGCAUCGGCUAACUCCGUGCCAGCAGCCGCGGUAAUACGGAGGAUGCGAGCGUUAUCCGGAUUUAUUGGGUUUAAAGGGUGCGCAGGCGGGAGAUCAAGUCAGCGGUAAAAUGGCGGGGCUCAACCCCGGCCGGCCGUUGAAACUGGGUUU
rnacentral:rRNA from 1 species